AGACAGAACUCGCCGCGGGUUGACCAAUCAGAAAUCGGGGGAGUGUCAGGGGAGGGGCUCGCAGGUUGCUCUGUGGAAAGAUCGAUGGGAAUAUUGUAGGAAGGCAGAGGGUGAGCGCUUCAAGAUUGUAAAUAAUGGGAAGCGGUUGGAGGAAACGAAACAACAUAGUCCAGCUGAGCAAACCAGCCUUUUGACGGAAGCUGUGGCCCGACGCAGGAAGAUGUGGAACAGCAUACUCGUAUUACUACAGUCCAACUUUUGAGACCAAUACGCAUGCUAAGCGUGAAAAUAUACUACUGCGUCAGAGCGAGGGCUAUUGCGACAAGCGCAGUGAGGAACGGAUGGAGUCAGAACGAAUUCUACCUGCGUAGGAUGCUGGUAACUGCGCAAAAAUCACGCCUUCCGGCGAAAAAAAGGAUAACCCGACAAAACAUGGGCAUUACUGAUGAACAAACCGAAAGGACGAAAGAAGCGGAGCUUGUGUCGUCGCUGGCCGUCUGCUAUCGGGGCAACUUUUAAAGAGCCAGACGAGGCGGCCGGCAGGUCACUGCUGCAGUGAGGUGCUGAUCGUGGACUUUGGUGGAAUCGGAGCGACUUCCUGCACCUGUCUGUCCCGGGGCGGGGGGAGGGGGCUGAGGGGAUUUUUUUCUACGUAAUGGAAACAGAACUGAAAUAGCACGAGUGACGCAGUGUUUUUUUGUUUUUUUUGUUUGUUUUCUUCCUUCUUCGAGUGAAAGAUGGCAGUGAGACUGACUCUGACCCUCUCCCUCUUUCUCUCUUUGACUGUACAGGGGAUCUUUAAAGGGUCUUCCCCUAGAGGUGUCACAAGGGGCCUAAAUGUCAGGGCGCUAGAUCGGGGGGGAAGGCUGGCUGUUUACCUCGCUCGCUUGGUGACACUCCUGGCGGAAUGCCAACUCCCAUGCAGCUGACUUUGAAGCAGCCGCAUUGCCCAAUAGAAUGUCAGAGCUCCUCCCCCAUUAGACUAGGGGGGAGGUGGUGAGGGCCCAAGAGACUGGCACUUUUACCUCCAGAACGAUGGCGCCUGAUUGGCCCGAGAGGUGUUGUUGUCGUGUUUGAUUGGCUGGAGCGGACAGUUUCACUGCGUGUCAAUGCAGAGACGAUUCUCAUUCAGGACAGCCUGUGACUUGCUGUGCCGUAGUGAUUUUGGUUGUUUGAAGACUCGAUUAUUCAGCUCUUCUUUUGAAACUGGAGGCAGUUAUAGACAGCGUAACAGUGUAGUAGUAUGAAAGCAGCUGUGAAAAUGAAAGGUAAAACUUUACCUGAAGUGAGUUUCGUAGUUUUCAUAAAUGCUACAUAACACACCGCUGCCUUUGUCACAAUCAUACAUAUCUUAUAACCAGCUUAUAGUAACUGUGAUACUAUGUCACUCGCAUCAUAUUGCUUAUCACUGAACGCUUCAUACUCUUAUGCCAGUUAUUAUAAGCUGGGCAUAAUGUUAAUGUGUACUUAUUAGAAAGACUGUAGCCAUAUCUAGCGCUUAUAAAGGCAUUAGGAAAUGUGUUCAUCUUCAGCCACUGGUACUACUGGUACUUGUAAUUAAAGUUGAAGCUCCUAUACUAUAUUAAAAUAAAGUUUCUGCUUCAUUAUGACACCUACAUGUAACAGUAUGUCUUGCAGCAUUGUUUCUUAUAAUAAUGCUUAGCUUUGACUGUUGUUUUUCAAGCCACAAUGGGCAAGAGACACUAACUAAAUGCAUACCAAAUAAAUGCUAAAUGAACAAGUUUA